rnacentral:rRNA from 1 species
GACGAACGCUGGCGGCGUGCUCAACACAUGCAAGUCGAACGGAAAGGCCCUGCUUUUGUGGGGUGCUCGAGUGGCGAACGGGUGAGUAACACGUGAGUAACCUGCCCUUGACUUUGGGAUAACUUCAGGAAACUGGGGCUAAUACCGGAUAGGAGCUCCUGCUGCAUGGUGGGGGUUGGAAAGUUUCGGCGGUUGGGGAUGGACUCGCGGCUUAUCAGCUUGUUGGUGGGGUAGUGGCUUACCAAGGCUUUGACGGGUAGCCGGCCUGAGAGGGUGACCGGCCACAUUGGGGCUGAGAUACGGCCCAGACUCCUACGGGGGGCAGCAGUGGGGAAUAUUGCACAAUGGGCGGAAGCCUGAUGCAGCAACGCCGCGUGCGGGAUGACGGCCUUCGGGUUGUAAACCGCUUUCGCCUGUGACGAAGCGUGAGUGACGGUAAUGGGUAAAGAAGCACCGGCUAACUACGUG